UGUGUAGCUGUAUAGGUACCCAAUUACUGUGUGUGCUUUACUUUUCACUUCCUCUCUGCUGGUUAAUCAUUUGCAGACAGGGUGAUAGAAAGUGUGUAGGACGAUGAGCUGUGUGAUAUAGAGACACAGAAGACUUCCUUAGUCCUCUGAGUUGGUGAAGUAUUGAGCACCAACCAAAAUGUCAAUCAGACAGAAAUUCAUAAGUAUUUGGAAAAGUCAUUAUAAUGUCUUGACUGUAUCAUUUCAUUCUGUAAUUAUGGUGGUGGUCGAAGAAAUAAUGGAGGUGGAAUUUAAAUGUCCUCAGAAGGAGUCAUUACAGAAAUUGUAUGUUAUUUCCUACUUUUUCUGUCCAGCAUUCAUUACAUUUUUCAUGAGCUUGACCUCCCACCCUGACUGCAUUCCCCUGGCUCGCUGCAUGAGGAAACGCUCCUGCUACUGGAAGAGUGACAUAAUUUUGAAGGCAUUUCUACCUCCUCUGAUUUGGUGCGUGAUCCUACUGUGCGAUGGCAGAUAUAUAGACUGUGUGGCUUCAAGAAAUGUAGGAAACAAUGGUCAAAAUGCAAACCAAAGUGGAGCAGCAGAUUUACCCAGUGAGUUCUACACAAAAUCUCAGGUUGCCGGGCUGUUCGUUCUUACUGCUGUUGUCAGUCUUUAUGGCCUGUACCGCGUGUACCCCUUCUGGUUCUGCUGUAACUAUGAAGGACAGAGAGAGCAGCUGGAGAGCUUAUUAGAGGAAGAAGCAUGGAAACAUUUUGAAGAACUGAAGAAAGCGGAUGUAGAGCAGAUAAUGGAACAGAGAGUGAAACCUUCUCUCCGGCUUGUUAUUAAUAAUUUCUGGAAAAACUUAGAUUUGAGAAAUGCAGCGAAAAAAAUAAAGGAAGCUGUAAAGUCUGCUGUUAGAGAUAGACAGCUGGUGAGCCAACAAGCAGUUGAACAAGGUGUGCCUCUCACCUCCUGCACUGGCACAACCACAGGACAACCGACGCAACCAAUUAACACUUCGUUCUGAAGAGGUGGGCAGCUACUGUUGCCGAAAGGGCCAGAGCAGGUGCCGAUGCAGCAACACCAGGAUGCUCGACCUGUCCAUCCUGGGCUUGCUAGGGAAAGCACCCACCCUGCUCCCACCUCAGUCCUCCUGACCGCCAAAGCAGGUCUGGCUCUUACAGUGUAGCCAGAAGAGUAAGUUGGGUUUAUUGUCCUGCUCCAGCUACGGUUGUCAAGCUGACAGCUACCAUCAGCACCGGUCACCUUAUUAUCCCUCUUCCUGUUUCUUGGCCUUCAUUUGUUGCUCUUUCACCUCUCUUUCUUCACCCCAGUGUCCAGUUUCUGGUCCCAGUUUUGCUAUAUCUGUACCCCAAACUGGUAGUUCUAAUCCUGUUACCUACACAAUCUUGACUCCUCAGGUUUUACCUUUGCAUAAAGCAAGGAAGAAGUAAGCAAAGAAGGAAUAAAUAUCUUCAGGUCUUAAAGGGCAGAAGAAAUGUGAGCUGGUCCUUCCUGAACAUUGUGCUGGUUUGCACUGUUCCCACUUGCAAGGAACUAGCUAGUGCCUAAUUGCAAUAAAACUUUCUGAGCACAA